rnacentral:lncRNA from 1 species
AGGGUGGAGGGUGCCUGGGCCGGGCUAGAACAGGAGGGCAGGGCCGCCCACGCGGGAAAACCAACGGAGCCCUGAGACGUGUUUUUACUUGGAUUGGUUGGUUGCUUUGGGCGUGCGUUUCCUAGCGUCAUUCCUUUGUUGGCUCCUCCCUGUCCUCUUGGUGCUGUGGGCCCUGAAAGUUGUCGAGUGCGCCUGUCCCUGUGGUGGGAGCAGUGGCGCCGAGCGUGCCCACGGGCCGCCGCUUGGGUUUCUCUCGUGUUCAGGGUAGUAUGGACGUGGACAAUGGCAGUGGCCCCUGGCUGGCCCAAGAGCCGGGUCCAGAUACGCGCGCCUGAUUCCAGGCGUCAUAACCAACCCGGGGCCGCGAGGCUGGGAUCAGGCACCCCGGAGCCGCUUGCCCGUGGCCGGGCUGCUCUCCCCCUCUAAGCCUAAGCACCGCCAGUCGCGGCGCUGCGCUUUCCGCCGACCUCCCAGAGCGUCCCGCCGUCGCCGGCGGCCAGCCUCGCGCAGGACCAGUGUGGCGCCGCCCUGCUGUUGCUGGGGGGCGCCCGAGGCCUCCAUUCCUUGCCCAGGCUUCCGGCUCUCGGGGCGGCCUCCCUUCCGCCCACGCUCCAGGGCUUCCCCGGCUCCCGAGCUCCGAGCUUCCACCACAUCGGCCGGCUCAGGACAGAUACCCAGUGGUGGGAUUGCUGAAUCAGACAGAGCCAAUAGACGAUCAGUAAUGGUGGCCAAUCAUCAGCUAGAAACAAAGUAUUUAGCAGUGCUUGAAAACACCAAAACUCUGAGACCACUGACCUUCCAAAACUUCAACAGCCCUGAGUGAAAAGUCCAAACACAUUUAUCCACCAUUCAAAGACCCUUUAUUUUCUGUCCUCUGUGCAUCUCAGUAGUCUCUUUUUACCACACUGUCUAUAUACUGCAUGAGCCAUUUACGUGAAACUAUCUGACACUCCAAGGCAUCUUAUACUAUAUAUUCAACCAUGUAUCCCUAGUACCUAGCACAGUCCUGGCAUAUAGUUUGCUACUAAACAUUUGCAGAAUGAAGGAAUUAUCUUGUAUCCAGGUUCAAGUUUUAAGUUGAUUCUUCACUAAACAAAGUAUUACAGUUCACAAAUAAUCUACUUCCUUUUUUACAAAUGGGAUCGAUCUUAAUCUUAUCCCCUAAUAACAUUACUUUCAUUUACUCCCAUCUAAAUAUACUGUCCUAAGAGAGCAAUAAGAAAGAGAGUUGAAGCUGGAGCUUGAAGAAUUGUACAUGGUCCUGUGAUAACCUACCUUGUUUUAACCUGAGUGACUGUCUCCUAGCAGAGAGCUGGACAGACUCCAUUUUAGUUUCUUCAUGUGCAGCCCCCUUUACCUCCCUCCCUUAAGGACAUAACUAGUGUAAACUGACUCAAAGCAUGUCCAGGAAUCACUUACUGUUAAGAUAUUGAGGCAAGCUGCGCCAGCAGCUCCUGGGGAUGCGCUCGGUGAAUGGCACCCAAAACCCCUGCAUUUCUCUCUUUGUGAUAGUUUAAGCCCCUGCACCUGGAACUGUUUAUUUUUUUGCAACUGCUUUUGUAACCAAUUAAUUUUUUAACUUUUUGCCAGCUCUGCUUCUGUAAAAAUUGCUUCAGCCAAACUCCCCCCUCCCCUAUUUAGACCACGGUAUAAAACCAAAACCAACCCCUUCCUCGGGGCCGAGAGAAUUUUGAGCGUUAGCUGCCUCUCGGUCACCAGCUAAUAGAGGAUUCCUUAAUUUGUCUCAAAGUGUGGCAUUUCUCUAUAACUCGCUGGGUUACAACAGUCCACACUGUGGCCUGAGGCGCAUCGCCCACCUGAGCUUCAUCUGUUAGGUAUGUCAGGGAAGAUAAGCAGGGUAAGGAUGGCCUCAUCAGAGGGCCCCAGAUCUCUAGCUCCCCCAUCUGGCAAGUGCACCUCUGUGAACAAAGUCUUCAGAGCCAGAUGACAAGAACGGCCCAAUCAGUCCACCAGGGAAACCUGGGCCCAGUGUACGUCAAUGCAGAGCAUCAAGCACGGCGUAACAGGUGCACAGUUGCCUAUUCCUGUUCAGAGAUAACUGCAUCCCACACACUGUAAAAUGAGGAAAUGCAGAGAAGCAGAUGUAACUGAAGAAGACAGCAGGAGCAACAAGGAGGGACAACCACGACCUAGGAGGACACCAUGCCAGAGAGGCCUGGACCCCACGCUAGGCUCAGUGCCUGUUAUACUCUUGGGACCCAGCGCUUUCCUUCUCCAUCACGUGGCAUACUUGGCAUUAUUUGUUGUUUAAAAUAUUGUCCUUAGUUUUCACCUUUCCUAGGAGACACAGGCAGACCCUGUGACACUACAGCUGGCACACAGUAGGUGCAUCACAAACAUCUGCUGAGUUCACACACUCUUGCCUUCUCAAACCUUCUUGUCAAGUCUUCAGUGAAAAGGAAUUGCUGAUUGAGCAAGAAUUAAACUUCUAGAGACUCCUGGAUCCACUGAAGUUUGAGACAAGGUGAGAUUUGUUUACUGCCAUAUUCCUAGCUCAUAGCAUACUGUAGUCACUUAAAAAAUGUUUGUUGAAUAAGUGAGUGAAUUGAUUCAAUUGUCAUACUUAGCUAUAUAUUUUCUGAGUAAAACUGAUAAAUUUAAUAGUUUACUUCUAGUAUAAUUUUACUUUACUUAUUCAAUGAACCUGACAAUUCAACUAGGUGCCAGGCACACUGCUGCUGAAGAAAAAGAGGUAUAAGAUACAACUUCUGUCUAUAAGAAAGCCACAGUCUAAAAAGUAGAAACAUAUGAACAAAUUAUAACAAUAAAUAGG